rnacentral:rRNA from 1 species
AUGUGUAUUCCGAAGGAGAGAGGAGGGAUGGGUUUCAGAGACAUUCAAAGCUUCAACUUGGCUAUGCUAGCUAAACAAUGUUGGCAGCUUAUUGAUAAUUAUGAUUCGCUUUGUGCUAAAAUCUUGAGAUCAAUAUAUUAUCCAUCAGGUGAUUUGUUGAAUUGCGAGCUGAAAAAGGGCUCAUCUUAUGUUUGGCAAAGUAUUUGGGCAGGGAUCCGAACUUUCAAGAAGGGCUGCAUAUGGAGAGUUGGAGAUGGAUCAAAAAUUAAUAUUUGGGAAGAUUGUUGGAUACCAAAUAGCUCAUCUAGAAGAGUUACUGUGUGUGGUAAUCGUGUGUUGUCGAAGGUGAAUGAACUCAUUGAUCCUACUACAGGAGAGUGGGAUGAAACAGUUAUCAGAGACAAUUUUUGGCACAUUGACGCUGAUAGGAUCUUGCAAAUUCCCUUAUAUCAGCAGGAGACUGGUGACUUUGUAGCAUGGCAUCUGACAAAAUCUGGAAUUUUCACUGUCCGGUCU